GGAGGAAAAGAAACCAACAGGGAUUGCCUUAGUAGCGGCGAGUGAAGCGGCAAAAGCUCAAAUUUGAAAUCUGGCACUUUCAGUGUCCGAGUUGUAAUUUGAAGAAGGUAUCUUUGGGUCUGGCUCUUGUCUAUGUUUCUUGGAACAGAACGUCACAGAGGGUGAGAAUCCCGUGCGAUGAGAUGACCCAGACCUAUGUAAAGUUCCUUCGAAGAGUCGAGUUGUUUGGGAAUGCAGCUCUAAGUGGGUGGUAAAUUCCAUCUAAAGCUAAAUAUUGGCGAGAGACCGAUAGCGAACAAGUACAGUGAUGGAAAGAUGAAAAGAACUUUGAAAAGAGAGUGAAAAAGUACGUGAAAUUGUUGAAAGGGAAGGGCUUGAGAUCAGACUUGGUAUUUUGUAUGUUACUCUUUCGGGGGUGGCCUCUACAGUUUACCGGGCCAGCAUCAGUUUGGGCGGUAGGAGAAUUGCAAAGAAAUGUGGCACUGCUUCGGUAGUGUGUUAUAGUCUUUGUCGAUACUGCCAGCCUAGACUGAGGACUGCGGCUUCGGCCUAGGAUGUUGGCAUAAUGAUCUUAAGUCGCCCGUCUU
rnacentral:rRNA from 1 species